UACGUAGGGGGCUAGCGUUGCUCGGAAUGACUGGGCGUAAAGGGCGCGUAGGCGGUUUGUACAGUCAGGUGGGAAAUUCCCGGGCUCAACCUGGGGGCUGCACUUGAUACGUAUGGACUGGAGUGGGGAAGAGGGUCGUGGAAUUCCCAGUGUAGAGGUGAAAUUCGUAGAUAUUGGGAAGAACACCGGUGGCGAAGGCGGCGACCUGGUCCGUGACUGACGCUGAGGCGCGAAAGCGUGGGGAGCAAACAGG
rnacentral:rRNA from 1 species